rnacentral:ncRNA from 2 species
AAUCACUACUAGGGGUGCCCUGUGAUCGGGCUGAGAGAAAACGAGAACGUUUUUAACCCUUUGGACCUGAUCUGGGUAAUACCAGCGUAGGAAAGUAGACCAUGUGAAAU